rnacentral:rRNA from 1 species
CUACGGAACUCCUACGGGAGGCAGCAGUGGGGAAUUUUGCACAAUGGGCGAAAGCCUGAUGCAGCGACGCCGCGUGAGGGAUGACGGCCUUCGGGUUGUAAACCUCUUUCAGCACGGAAGAAGCGAAAGUGAUGGUACGUGCAGAAGAAGCGCCGGCUAACUACGUGCCAGCAGCCGCGGUAAUACGUAGGGCGCAAGCGUUGUCCGGAAUUAUUGGGCGUAAAGAGCUCGUAGGCGGUUUGUCGCGUCUGCUGUGAAAGCCCGGGGCUUAACCCCGUGGUGUGCAGUGGGUACGGGCAGACUAGAGUGCAGUAGGGGAGACUGGAAUUCCUGGUGUAGCGGUGAAAUGCGCAGAUAUCAGGAGGAACACCGAUGGCGAAGGCAGGUCUCUGGGCUGUUACUGACGCUGAGGAGCGAAAGCAUGGGGAGCGAACAGGAUUAGAUACCCUUGUAGUCCUCUUCGA